UGCCAGCAGCCGCGGUAAGACGAAGGUGGCAAGCGUUGCUCGGAAUCACUGGGCAUAAAGCGCACGUAGGUGGCGAGAUAAGCGGAGGAUGAAAUCCCAUGGCUCACCCAUGGAACUGUCUUCCGAACUGUCUUGCUUGAGGGUGAGAGGAGAGACUGGAAUUCCUGGUGUAGCGGUGAAAUGCGUAGAUAUCAGGAGGAACACCGGUGGCGAAAGCGAGUCUCUGGCUCAUUCCUGACACUGAGGUGCGAAGGCUAGGGGAGCAAACAGGAUUAGAUA
rnacentral:rRNA from 1 species